CAAAGUUGAUAGUGUUUAUGACGUCGAAUAUCGACGUCAUAAACACCAAAGUUGAUCGUGUUUAUGACGUCGAAUAUCGACGUCAUAAACACCAAAC
rnacentral:miRNA from 1 species